rnacentral:rRNA from 1 species
UACGUAGGGGGCAAGCGUUGUCCGGAAUUAUUGGGCGUAAAGAGCUCGUAGGCGGUUUGUUGCGUCGGCUGUGAAAUCCCGAGGCUCAACCUCGGGUCUGCAGUCGAUACGAGCAAACUAGAGUGUUGCAGGGGAGACUGGAAUUCCUGGUGUAGCGGUGAAAUGCGCAGAUAUCAGGAGGAACACCGGUGGCGAAGGCGGGUCUCUGGGCAACUACUGACGCUGAGGAGCGAAAGCGUGGGGAGCGAACAGG